UACGGGGGGAGCAAGCGUUGUUCGGAUUUACUGGGCAUAAAGGGCGCGUAGGCGGCCACCGCAAGUCAGUUGUGAAAGCUCUGGGCUUAACCCAGAAAGGUCAGCUGAUACUGCGGGGCUAGAGUGCAGAAGGGGCAACUGGAAUUCUCGGUGUAGCGGUGAAAUGCGUAGAUAUCGAGAGGAACACCUGCGGCGAAGGCGGGUUGCUGGGCUGACACUGACGCUGACAGCGCGAAAGCUAGGGGAGCGAACGGG
rnacentral:rRNA from 1 species